UACGUAGGGGGCAAGCGUUGUCCGGAAUCAUUGGGCGUAAAGCGCGUGUAGGCGGCUCGAUAAGUCUGCUGUGAAAGUCCAGGGCUCAACCCUGGGAUGCCGGUGGAUACUGUCGAGCUCGAGUCCGGAAGAGGCGAGUGGAAUUCCUGGUGUAGCGGUGAAAUGCGUAGAUAUCUGGAGGAACACCGGUGGCGAAGGCGGCAUCCUGGACCGGCAUUGACGCUGAGGCGCGAAAGCCAGGGGAGCAAACGGG
rnacentral:rRNA from 1 species